UCGGUGGAUGCCCUGGCAGUCAGAGGCGAUGAAGGGCGUGCUAAUCUGCGAUAAGCGCCGGUAAGGUGAUAUGAACCGUUAUAACCGGCGAUACCCGAAUGGGGAAACCCAGUGUGACUCGUCACACUAUCAUUAACUGAAUCCAUAGGUUAAUGAGGCGAACCGGGGGAACUGAAACAUCUAAGUACCCCGAGGAAAAGAAAUCAACCGAGAUUCCCCCAGUAGCGGCGAGCGAACGGGGAGGAGCCCAGUGCCUGAUUCAGCAUGUGUGUUAGUGGAUGCGUCUGGAAUGGCGCGCGAUACUGGGUGACUGCCCCGUACACAAAUGCGCAUGUGCUGUGAGCUCGAUGAGUAGGGCGGGACACGUGGUAUCCUGUCUGAAUAUGGGGGGACCAUCCUCCAAGGCUAAAUACUCCUGACUGACCGAUAGUGAACCAGUACCGUGAGGGAAAGGCGAAAAGAACCCCGGCGAGGGGAGUGAAAAAGAACCUGAAACCGUGUACGU
rnacentral:rRNA from 1 species